CAGCCGCCGCGGUAAUUCGUAGGGUGCGAGCGUUAAUCGGAAUUACUGGGCGUAAAGCGUGCGCAGGCGGUUUUGUAAGCCAGAUGUGAAAUCCCCGGGUUUAACCUGGGAAUGGCAUUUGGGACUGCAAGGCUUGAGUGCGGCAGAGGAGACUGGAAUUCCUGGUGUAGCAGUGAAAUGCGUAGAUAUCAGGAGGAAUACCGAUGGCGAAGGCAGGUCUCUGGGCUGACACUGACGCUCAUGCACGAAAGCGUGGGGAGCAAACAGGAUUAGAUACCCUGGUAGUCCACGCCCUAAACGAUAUCGACUGGUUGUUGGGGGUUUGACACUCUCAGUAACGAAGCUAACGCGUGAAGUCGACCGCCUGGGGAGUACGGCCGCAAGGUUAAAACUCAAAGGAAUUGACGG
rnacentral:rRNA from 1 species